rnacentral:rRNA from 1 species
AUUGAACGCUGGCGGCAGGCUUAACACAUGCAAGUCGAGCGGAGUGAUGGUGCUUGCACUAUCACCUAGCGGCGGACGGGUGAGUAAUGCUUAGGAAUCUGCCUAUUAGUGGGGGACAACAUCUCGAAAGGGAUGCUAAUACCGCAUACGUCCUACGGGAGAAAGCAGGGGAUCACUUGUGACCUUGCGCUAAUAGAUGAGCCUAAGUCGGAUUAGCUAGUUGGUGGGGUAAAGGCCUAACAAGGCGACGAUCUGUAGCGGGUCUGAGAGGAUGAUCCGCCACACUGGGACUGAGACACGGCCCAGACUCCUACGGGAGGCAGCAGUGGGGAAUAUUGGACAAUGGGGGGAACCCUGAUCCAGCCAUGCCGCGUGUGUGAAGAAGGCCUUAUGGUUGUAAAGCACUUUAAGCGAGGAGGAGGCUCUUUUGGUUAAUACCCAAGAUGAGUGGACGUUACUCGCAGAAUAAGCACCGGCUAACUCUGUGCCAGCCGCCGCGGUAAGAC